CGCGGAGUCCAGAUGUCUGCGAAAAAGGAGACCAGUCGCGCGCGCCUCGGCGUAUCGCCUUCGCUUGAAGAGAACGUGACUUUCCGCUGCCGGAUUUGUUGAUCUCUCCAGCUUUCUUUGUUUGCUUCCCCCUUCUUGUCGCCCUGUCCCCAGACAUUUUCUCAGAAUCCUUUGCUGCGCUGAGAAAAGAAAAGGGGAAGCGCCCUUUCGCGCAGUUGUCGCCUGAAGCCUUCCAGGUCCGAUUCUCUCCCCUGCGAUGGAAAAUCCUUCCCGGUCCCUGGCGGGAGGAGCUUUUCAAAACUUCUGGAAGGAGCGUUCCUAGGAACGCGAGGCCAACAGGAAGUCUCCCCAAGAAAAAACGGCAGACUGUGGAGAAGACAACACGAGAAAACGAACGAGAGCGAGAGGAAGAGAAGAAAAAUGGAGGCCAUAAGACCGAACGAAACAGACGGGGAGAACCUGAAGAGACAGAGACAAUGAACGCGCGGUCGAUAAAGGGAGAGAACCAGAAGAGAAAAAAAGAGAAAGGGGAGGAGUAGAAAGAGGAGCAAAGAGAAGCAAAAAAGGAGAGCGAAAAAACGGCAAAGAAAACAAGAGGCGUAUGGCAGAUACUCAGCUUCUCCAACAAGUCGAAACUCCUUCGCAUCUCGCUUUUUAUCCUUCACAUCUCCGACAACCAAAGUCGAUUCUCC
rnacentral:lncRNA from 1 species